AAUCAACGCUGGCGGCGUGCCUAACACAUGCAAGUCGAACGCGAAAGCCCCGCAAGGGGCAAGUAGAGUGGCAAACGGGUGAGUAACACGUGGGUGACCUGCCUCAGAGUGGGGGAUAACGACCCGAAAGGGUCGCUAAUACCGCAUAACAUCCUGCGUUUGGAUACGCGGUGAUCAAAGCCGGGGAUUCGCAAGAACCUGGCGCUUGGAGAGGGGCCCGCGGCCGAUUAGCUAGUUGGNGAGGUAACGGCUCACCAAGGCUACGA
rnacentral:rRNA from 1 species